rnacentral:rRNA from 1 species
UGGGGAAUUUUGGACAAUGGGCGAAAGCCUGAUCCAGCAAUGCCGCGUGAGUGAUGAAGGCCUUCGGGUUGUAAAGCUCUGUCUUUUGGGACGAUAAUGACGGCACCAAAGGAGGAAGCCACGGCUAACUACGUGCCAGCAGCCGCGGUAAUACGUAGGUGGCAAGCGUUGUCCGGAUUUACUGGGCGUAAAGGAUGCGUAGGCGGAUUUUUAAGUGAGAUGUGAAAUACCCGGGCUUAACUUGGGUGCUGCAUUUCAAACUGGGAAUCUAGAGUGCGGGAGAGGAGAAUGGAAUUCCUAGUGUAGCGGUGAAAUGCGUAGAGAUUAGGAAGAACACCAGUGGCGAAGGCGGUUCUCUGGACCGUAACUGACGCUGAGGCAUGAAAGCGUGGGUAGCAAACAGGAUUAGAUACCCUGGUAGUCCACGCCGUAAACGAUGAGUACUAGGUGUAGGAGGUAUCGACCCCUUCUGUGCCGCAGUUAACACAAUAAGUACUCCGCCUGGGAAGUACGAUCGCAAGAUUAAAACUCAAAUGAAUUGAC